rnacentral:rRNA from 1 species
CAGGCCUAACACAUGCAAGUCGAGCGGAAAUAUGCAAUCGGAGAGCUUCGGCAGGAAGAUUACAUAUUUUAGCGGCGGACGGGUGAGUAACGUGUGGGCAACCUGCCCUGUACUGUGGAAUAAUCACUGGAAACGGUGACUAAUACCGCAUGUCAUUGCGAGAGGGCAUCCUCUUGCAAGAAAAGGAUUUAUUCGGUACAGGAUGGGCCCGCAUCUGAUUAGCUAGUUGGUGAGAUAACAGCCCACCAAGGCAACGAUCAGUAGCCGACCUGAGAGGGUGAUCGGCCACAUUGGGACUGAGACACGGCCCAAACUCCUACGGGAGGCAGCAGUGGGGAAUAUUGCACAAUGGGCGAAAGCCUGAUGCAGCAACGCCGCGUGAAGGAAGAAGGGUUUCGGCUCGUAAACUUCUAUCAACAGGGACGAAAAAAAUGACGGUACCUGAAUAAGAAGCCCCGGCUAACUACGUGCCAGCAGCCGCGGUAAU